rnacentral:rRNA from 1 species
UACGUAGGGUGCGAGCGUUGUCCGGAAUUAUUGGGCGUAAAGAGCUUGUAGGCGGUUUGUCGCGUCUGCCGUGAAAAUCCGGGGCUCAACCCCGGACUUGCGGUGGGUACGGGCAGACUAGAGUGUGGUAGGGGAGACUGGAAUUCCUGGUGUAGCGGUGAAAUGCGCAGAUAUCAGGAGGAACACCGAUGGCGAAGGCAGAUCUCUGGGCCGUAACUGACGCUGAGGAGCGAAAGCGUGGGGGAGCGAACAGG